AAAAAAAAAAAAAAAGUCAUAAUGAAGAGAAAAUAUAUUCACUAUUAAAGGUCUUUAUCCUUUUCAUCUUCACGUUGAGUAAGCUGAGGACGAAGAAGAAGGGUGGGUCUUGCUGUCUUGGGGUGGCAGAGGCAAAAGAAAGUUUGAUAGUGGACCCACAUAGCUCAAACCCAUGUUGUUCAAGAGUCAUCUGUACUUUAAAUGGAUUAAACCCUCCAAAAGUAGACUUUGGUGGAAUGAAUGAAAACACAUCAUCUAAUAAUUGCCGUCUACAAGAGACUCACUUUGUAUCCAAAGACACAAAUAGGUUGAAAGUGAAAAGAUAGAAAAGCAUAAUCCAUGUAAAUAAUAACCAGGAUGCUUAUACUAAUAUCAGACAAAAUGAACUAAAUUUAAAAAGGUUAUAGGGAAGAUGCAGGAAUGACAUCAGCAAGAUGGCAGACUAGAGAUACCUGGCAUUCGUCUUCCCUAUAAGAGAGAAUAAAUACAAGGAAUAAACAGCCAAGAUUUGACAGGAGUGUCAAAGAAAGAUCAGUGGAGUGCAGCAGUGGAGUGGAGAAACACCUAUUGGUGAUAGGAAGUUCAGAAGGGCAGCAUAAAGGCAGCCAGUCUCUGCAGUCCUGUCUCCCUUCCAUUCCCCAGGAUUGAAUCAGCCUGGAGUCAGGAGAGAACUUCCUGUUGUGAGUAGCAGGUAAGCAGAAGAUCUCCAUUAAUCCCCAUUGCCACUGCAAACAUCUUACAGCAGUAUAGUUGUUAGAACAGGAGAAUCCCACAGUCUCCAUUUGGAUAGCUACCAGGAGAUCAUGGAGCUGCAUUGCCCCAGUUAAGAGCAUAAGGUGUGCACGCCCCAUACUUCACCCACCUCCUAUGAGCCAUGCUCCUGAAGCAUGGUGCCAUCUUGAGACCAGGGGCACCUCUGAAGUGUGCCCUUCUCUGGGGGCACAUAGUCACUGCAUCUGUCUAACACUGGGGCUCCAUCUUCAUUCCUCCAAACCUAUACCAGUGGCUAAACACCACAGCCUCAGCAACACAAAAUCUGGACCCAAGAUUGGCUAUAACAUUGAUCCUGCAAAGCAUGAAAACCAACUCCCACUACCCUCACUUCCAGCCAGAGGAACAGUCUGGCAGUCUCACCCAGGGUGUACCUACCCAUGAGCUGGCCAAAUAGCCACAUGCCCAUCUUCAUAUGGGAGAGGCCUCAAGCCUCUGAACAGCUGACAUUCUCAGGCUGGCAGAACAGCUAUGUGAUUACACCCUGAGAAACAACACUGAGGUGCCCCACCCUCUACAGAAAAGUCCCUGACCUGCCAGUUGGCCCCAUGCCCACAACAAGAGCCUGAGAAACAUCUCUGCAGGCUGGCCCUGGCAGAAGCACCCCCAGGUCGGCCAAGCAGCUUUGCACCCAUGCCCCAGGCCUAAGAAGUAGCUCUACAUGCUGCCUCUGGCAAGGAGCCCCCAGGCUGCCUACACAGCUAUGUGCCAGCAUCCCAGGCCUGAGAGGCAAUCUUAGGAGCAUAAGGUGUGCAUUCCUCAUACCCCACCAACCCCCUAUGACCCAAGAAACACCCCCAGGCCUAAGAAGCAACUUUGCAGUUCACCCCUGGCAGGCCUGCCUCUAGACCAACCAAAUAGCCUUGCACCUGUGUACCAGAACUGCAAAACAGCCCUGUGGGCCACACCUGGAAAACACACCCCCAAACCAGUUAAGUAGCUUUUGGCCUGCAUCAUGGCCCUGAGAAGCAACCCUGCGAUCCACCUCCAGUGGACACAUCUCCAGGCCAACUGAGCAGCUAUGUGUCUGUGUCUCAAGUCUGAGAAACAGCCUCAUGGGUCGCUACCCAGCAGACAUAACCCAAGGCCAGCUGAACAGCUUAUACCACAUCCCAAGCCUGAGAAACAGCCAUCCUGUGGAUCGCCCCCAGCAAAAAUGCCUUUAGGCCCGCUGAGGAGCCAUGUACCUGCAUAUCAUGUCAGAGAAACAACCCCACAGGCAACCCCUGGUGGGCAUACUCCCAGGCUCAAUGAACAGACCUAUGCUUGUUCUUCCAGCCAAAGUAACUUAUGGCCACAGGAAAAGCAGUAGUAAAUGGCAAGUUUAUAGCAAUAAAUGCCUACAUCAAAAAAUGAGAAAGAGUUCUAAUAAACAACCUAACAAUGCACUAGAAAAGCAAGAACAAACCAAAACUUUGUAAAAGAAAUAAUAAAGAUCAGAGCAGAGAUAAAUGAAAUUGAGACUGAAAAAAUACAGAGGAUCAGUGAAACAAAAAGUUGAUUUUUUGAAAAGAUAAAAUCAACACACCAAUAGCUAUUCCCACACCAUUGGGAAAAAAGAAAGAAGACCCAAAUAAAUAAAAUCAGAAAUGAAAAAGGAGACAUCACAACAGAUACCACAGAAAUACAGAAGAUUAUUAGAGACAACUAUGAACGAGUAUAUGACAAUAAAUUUGAAAACCUAGAGGAAAUGGAUACAUUCCUGGACACAUACCUACCAAGAUCAAACCAAAAAGAAAUAGAAAACCUUGAAUAGACCAAUAAGUAAAAAGGUUGAAUCAGUAAUAAAAAGUAUUCCAACAAUGUAAAGUUCAGGACCAGAUGGCUUCAUUGCUGAAUUCUACCCAACACUUAAAGAGGAAUUAAUACCAAUUCCUCUCAAACUACUCCAAAGAAUGGAAGCAGAGGAAAUUCUGUCUCUUUCUAUGAGGCCAGCAUAACAUUGACAUAAAAACCAGCCAAGGAUACAACAAUAAAAACCCCCUACAGACCAGUAUCUCUGAUGAACAUGGACACAGAAAUACUCAACAAAAUACUAGCAAAUUGAGCCCAACAGGGCAUCAACAACAACAAUAGAAAGUCCUCCAUGACCAAGUGGAAUUUAGCCCAAAAAUGCAGGAAUGGUUCAGUAUACACAAGUCAAUAAACGUCAUACAUCACAUCCAUAGAAUAAAGGAUGAAAACCAUAUGAUCAUCUCAAUAGAUAUAGAAAAAGCUUUUGAUAAAAUUUGACAUUGUUCAUGAUAAAACUCUUAAUAAAUUAGGUAUAGAAGGUUAAUACCUAAAUAUGUAAAGGCCACAUAUGACAAACCCACAGCUAACACCUUACUGAAUGGGUGAGAAGCUGAAAGCCUUUUCUGUCAGAACUGGAACAAGACAGGAGUGUCUACUCUUACCACUUCUAUUCAGCAUACUACCGGAAGUUCUAAGAGUGAUUAGGCAAGGAAAAAAAAAUGCAUCCAAAUUGGAAACAGGGAAGUCAAAUUGUCCCUGUUUUCAGAUGAUGUAAUCUUAUAGGUAGAAAAACCAGGAGCAUAUAUUCAGGGGAAGUUGGAUCUGUGCUCUCAGGAAAUAAAAUGUUAUUAUUAAAAAAGGAAAUAAGAAAAAUCUAAAGACCAUACCAAAAAUACUCUUAGAACUGUAAAUGAGUUCAGUAAAGUUGCAGGAUACAAAAUUUAUAUAUUAAAAUCAGUAUUAUUUCUAUACAUGAACAAUAAAACUAGCUGACAGAGAAAUCAAGAAAGCAAUCCCAUUUACAAUAGCUCCUCAAAAUUAAUUUAACUAAGGAGGUGAAAGACUCUACGUGGAAAACUGCAAAGCACUGAUGAAAGAAAUUGAAGAGGAUACACAAAAAUGGAAAGUCAUUCCAAGCUCAUGGAUCAGAUGAAUAUCAUUAAAAUGACCAUGUUGCCCAAAGCGAUCUACAGAUUGAAUGCAGUAUCUAUCAAAAUACCAAUUACAUUCUUCACAGAUAUAGAAAAUAAGAAACAAAAUUUAUAUGAACCCACAAAAGACCCCAAAUAGCUAAACCAAUCCUGAGCAAAAAUAACAAAGCUGUACAUGUAACACUACCAGACCUCAAAGUGUAUGACAAAACUAUUCUUACGAAAACAGCAUGGUACUAGCAUAAAAACAGACACAUAGACCAUUGAAAUAGAAUAGAGAACCCAGAAAUUAAUUCACAUAUCCACAGUGAACUGAUCUGUGACAAAGACGCCAAGGACACGCACUGGGGAAAGAUAGUUUCUUCAAUUAAUUGUGCUGGGAAAACUGAAUAUUCUGGAACUAGACUGCCACCUCUCAAAAUGGAUCGAAGACUUAAAUGUAAGACCUGAAGCGUUGAAACUGCUAGUAGAGAGACUAGCGAACAAUACAGUCAGGAUGGCUAAAGGUGACCCAAAGAAACCAAAGGGCAAGAUGUCUGCUUAUGCCUUCUUUGUGCAGACGUGCAGAGAAGAACAUAAGAAGAAAAACCCAGAGGUCCCUGUGAACUUUGCAGAAUUUUCCAAGAAGUGCUCUGAGAGGUGGAAGACGAUGUCCGGGAAAGAGAAAUCUAAAUUUGAUGAAAUGGCAAAGGCAGAUAAAGUGCGCUAUGACCAGGAAAUGAAGGAUUAUGGACCAGCUAAGGGAGGCAAGAAGAAGGAGAAUCCUAAUGCUCCCAAAAGGCCACCGUCUGGAUUCUUCCUGUUCUGUUCAGAAUUCCGUCCCAAGAUCAAAUCCACAAACCCCGGCAUCUCUAUUGGAGACGUGGCAAAAAAGCUGGGUGAGAUGUGGAAUAAUUUAAAUGACAGUGAAAAGCAGCCUUACAUCACUAAGGCAGCAAAGCUGAAGAAGUAUGAGAAGGAUGUUGCUGACUGUAAGUCAAAAGGGAAGUUUGAUGGUGCAAAGGGUCCUGCUAAAGUUGCCCGGAAAAAGGUGGAAGAGGAAGAUGAAGAAGAGGAGGAGGAGGAAGAGGAGGAGGAGGAGGAGGAGGAUGAAUAAAGAAACUGUUUAUCUAUAUAUAAAAAAAAAAAAGAAACUGCUAGUAGAAGACAUAGUGAAAACACUUCAGAACAUUGACAGGGAAAAGAUUGUGUGAAUAAGACCUCAAAUGCGUAGUCAGCAAAAGCAUAAAUAAACAAAUGUGAUUACAUCAAACCAAAAAGCUUCUGCACAGCAAAGAAAACAGCAAAGUGAAAAGACAACCUACAGAAUGGAAGAAAAUAUUUACAAACUACUCAUUCAGUGGGGGUUUAAUACCCAGAAUAUAAAAGAAACUGAAACAUCCCAAUAGCCAAAAAACAAUUAAAUUCAAAUAUGGGCAAAUGACCUGAACAGAUAUUUCUCAAUAGAAGACAUACAAAUGACCAACAAAUAUAUUUUUUUACGUGUCCAACAUUACUAAUCAUGAGGGAAAUGCAAAUCAAGAUCAUAAAGAGGUAAUCAUCUCUUUCCAGUUAAGAUGGCUGCUUUAUCAAAAAGACAAAAUAAAUAAAUAAAUGAAUAAAUAAAUAAAUAAAUGCUGGAGAGGAUGCAGAGAAAAGGAAAUUCUUAGAUACUGUUGAUGGGAAUGCAAGCCACUAUAGCCACUGUGGAGAACACUAUGGAGGUCUCACAAAAAUUAAAUAGAAUUACCAUAUGAUCCAGCAAUCCUACUACUGAGUGUUUAUCCACAGAGAAACAAAUUAUUAUAUUGGAGAUAUCUAUACCAUCAUGUUUAUUGCAGCACUGUUCACGUUAGCCAAGGUAUAGAUUCAACCUAGUUGUCCAAAAACAGAUGAAUUGUUAAAGAAAAUGUGGUAUAUGUGUGUCAUGGAAUACUAUUUAGCUAGAAAAGAAAAGAAUGAAAUCCUGUCAUUCAUGGCAAUAUAGAUGGAAUUGGAUGAUAUUAUGUUAUCUGAAAUAAGCCAGGAACAGAAAGUGAAACACUGCAUGUUCUCACUCAAAUGUGGAAGCUAAAAGUAAAAAAAAAAAAAA